GCGCGAAACCUCCGCAAUGCGGGAAACCGCGACGGGGGGACCCCGAGUGCCGCGGCAACGCCACGGCUUUUCCGGAGUGUAAAAAGCUCCGGGAAUAAGGGCUGGGCAAGGCCGGUGGCAGCCGCCGCGGUAAUACCGGCGGCCCGAGUGGUGGCCGCUAUUAUUGGGCCUAAAGCGUCCGUAGCCGGGCCCGUAAGUCCCUGGCGAAAUCCCACGGCUCAACCGUGGGGCUUGCUGGGGAUACUGCGGGUCUUGGGACCGGGAGAGGCGGGGGGUACCCCUGGGGUAGGGGUGAAAUCCUAUAAUCCCAGGGGGACCGCCAGUGGCGAAGGCGCCCCGCUGGAACGGGUCCGACGGUGAGGGACGAAGGCCAGGGGAGCAAACCGGAUUAGAUACCCGGGUAGUCCUGGCUGUAAAGGAUGCGGGCUAGGUGUCGGGUGAGCCUCGAGCUCGCCCGGUGCCGUAGGGAAGCCGUUAAGCCCGCCGCCUGGGGAGUACGGCCGCAAGGCUGAAACUUAAAGGAAUUGGCGGGGGAGCACUACAAGGGGUGGAGCGUGCGGUUUAAUUGGAUUCAACGCCGGGAACCUCACCGGGGGCGACGGCAGGAUGAAGGCCAGGCUGAAGGUCUUGCCGGACACGCC
rnacentral:rRNA from 1 species